CAGUGCAGAUGGAUUCUGGCCCUCUCCUCGUAAGAUGAAAAAGCUCUUUCACAGUUGAGGUCUUAUUAAGUUAAAAAUUUAUAGCUUUUUACUAGGCUGUAACCAGUUAAUGUGACUCAGACAAAGAUGUAAUGUGAACAGAGGCAUUACUUAGAGCUACCAUUUUUGCCUUACUGCAGAGGUUCCUCUUCUCCAGACCUCACACGCAAGUUCCUAGAAGCCACAGCUGAAGCACAUUUAAGAAUUAGUCUGUGAGCUCAUUUGAUGAAGUGAGGGGGAUCAGCUGGGGUUUGGGCUGAUUGGCUUCAGCAGUGCAGUAGGCAGAGGUUUGAACCACUUCUUUCUGAGCAGUUUUGGGCUGUGGCUCCUUCCCUAGGACUUGCCAGCACCAUCUCUUCAGCAAAGCAGGGAGCUCUGUGGAGGCCUGGUCUGAAGCACUGGUGUGGCAGAUGUGGUGUACCAACGCUUCCUAUUCCUGAGUCCCCUGCAAACUUGUUCACAUCUCCCAUGAGUGAGGUGGCUUUGCAGUUUAGCGUUAGUAGUAGAAACUUGUGCCUAACAACAACAUUGCAAUGUGGCCAAGUCUUCAGGUAAUGUGUUCAAAGUAGAAAAGCAACGAGUCAGCGUGUAGAAAUAACUCUAAUAGGAUCUGAUCCAACGUGUAUUGACAUCAUGGAUGGUUUCUAUUUGUUUAAAUUGGUUUAGGGAUGGUGAUAUAUAGAUCUCAACAGAAUCUUUCAAGAACUGUGCAGUUUAUGAGUAUUUCAUCUGUAAGAAAUGAUGCCAAGUUUUGUGGCAAAAUAUAUCCUGUUUUAUACAAAAGAUGAGUAAUUUUAAUAGCAGCAAAGUUAUUUUGAACUAGGCUUUUUUCAGUUAACCAUCCAUUAGAAAAAUACCUGCAUGUGUCUUUUCAGCAAGCUAUAACAAUAAUCUGAGGGGAGAAGGAGAAUCUUUAAUAUAUUUUUUAAUUGGCACUUAAUGGUCUUUGUUUCCAGGGACUUAGUGGUUCGGUUUGAUAGAUGAUAGUCUAACAAUAUCUGCAACAAGAAACAACUUCCUACUGCAAGUUCAAAUGAUUUCCAAGGAAGAGAGAGCCUAGUGUUUGUUAGUCCUGCAGCUCUUUGUUGUUUUGUUUUGUAGAUUUUUGGGGAAGGGAAUUAAAUGGAAAAUGUCAGAAACACUCCUGGUAGUUUUGUGUGUCAUUAGAAAAAUUAACUGUCGCUCUCCUAUGUUUGAAGUCAGAUAUCCAGAUGCUAUUCUCUCAGUACUGAGAGAUCUAUGCUAAAAAGCCUGAUGCAUGCUGACAUGCAGCAGAUCUCGCUCCUUUGCUUCCAAAAAUUCAAAAGGAAAACACAGCAGAAGACCACAGGGAGUUACCACCAAGCAAAUGUUUGGAAGAAAGACAAGAAAUAUCAUGCAUGGGCUUGGGGUACUGUAAUCGUGGAUGCUUCAGUCAUACUUGUAUUUUAGUGAAUACCAAAAUCAUUUGUGUCACGUGAGCACAGGCUUUGUGAGGUCUGGUGAAACUGGUGAAAUGGGAGAUUUGUAAAUAUAUCUGAUAUUUUAUUCUG